AUUGAACGCUGGCGGCAUGCCUUACACAUGCCAGUCGAACGGCAGCACGGGAGCAAUCCUGGUGGCGAGUGGCGAACGGGUGAGUAAUACAUCGGAACGUGCCCAGUAGUGGGGGAUAACCCGGCGAAAGCCGGACUAAUACCGCAUACGACCUACGGGUGAAAGCGGGGGAUCGCAAGACCUCGCGCUAUCGGAGCUGCCGAUGUCAGAUUAGCUAGUUGGUGGGGUAAAGGCCUACCAAGGCGACGAUCUGUAGCUGGUCUGAGAGGACGACCAGCCACACUGGGACUGAGACACGGCCCAGACUCCUACGGGAGGCAGCAGUGGGGAAUUUUGGACAAUGGGCGCAAGCCUGAUCCAGCCAUGCCGCGUGCGGGAAGAAGGCCUUCGGGUUGUAAACCGCUUUUGUCAGGGAAGAAACGCUCCGGGCUAAUACCACGGAGUAAUGACGGUACCUGAAGAAUAAGCACCGGCUAACUACGUG
rnacentral:rRNA from 1 species